CAACUAUCCACAAAAGACCAAAAUGACACAGACAUUAACAACUAUAGGUCACCGUACGGCCUUCAACAAUGAACAAAGCCCAUACCGCAUACUCAGCUAUAAAAGGCCCCGAUAAGACAAUGUAAAACAAUUCAAACGAGAAAACUAACGGCCUUAUUUAUGUAAAAAAAAAUGAACGAAAAACAAAUAUGUAACACAUAAACAAACGACAACCACUGAAUAUACAGGCUCCUGACUUGGUACAGGCACAUACAUAAAUAAUGUGGCGGGGUUAAACAUGUUAGCGGGAUCCCAACCCUCCCCCUAACCUGGGACAGUGGU
rnacentral:lncRNA from 1 species